rnacentral:pre_miRNA from 1 species
AUCAUCUAGGGAUCUUGUUAAAAUGUGGAUCCUGAUUCAGCAAGUUCAUGGUCGGCCUAAGAUUCUGCAUUUCUAACAAACUCUCAAGUGAUGCUGA